rnacentral:rRNA from 1 species
UACGGGGGGGGCAAGCGUUGUUCGGAAUUACUGGGCGUAAAGGGCUCGUAGGUGGCCAACUAAGUCAGACGUGAAAUCCCUCGGCUUAACCGGGGAACUGCGUCUGAUACUGGAUGGCUUGAGUUCGGGAGAGGAGGGUGGAAUUCCCAGUGUAGCGGUGAAAUGCGUAGAUAUUGGGAGGAACACCGGUGGCGAAGGCGGCCCUCUGGACCGGUACUGACGCUGAUGCGCGAAAGCGUGGGGAGCAAACGGG